AUUGAACGCUGGCGGCAGGCCUAACACAUGCAAGUCGAGCGCCCCGCAAGGGGAGCGGCGGACGGGUGAGUAACGCGUGGGAACGUACCCUUUGCUACGGAAUAGCCUCGGGAAACUGGGAGUAAUACCGUAUGUGCCCUUCGGGGGAAAGAUUUAUCGGCAAAGGAUCGGCCCGCGUUGGAUUAGGUAGUUGGUGGGGUAAUGGCCUACCAAGCCGACGAUCCAUAGCUGGUUUGAGAGGAUGAUCAGCCACACUGGGACUGAGACACGGCCCAGACUCCUACGGGAGGCAGCAGUGGGGAAUCUUAGACAAUGGGCGCAAGCCUGAUCUAGCCAUGCCGCGUGAGCGAUGAAGGCCUUAGGGUUGUAAAGCUCUUUCAGUGGGAAGAUAAUGACUGUACCCACAGAAGAACGCCCGGCUAACUCCGUGCCAGCA
rnacentral:rRNA from 1 species